GUCAGGAUGGCCGAGUGGUCUAAGGCACCAGACUCAAGAUUGAUUCUUUCCCACCUCUUGGGUGUUCUGGUCUCCGAAUGGGGGUGUGGAUUCAAAUCCCACUUCUGACA